UUUGCCUACGGGGGGCAGCAGUGGGGAAUAUUGCACAAUGGGGGAAACCCUGAUGCAGCGACGCCGCGUGAGCGAAGAAGUAUUUCGGUAUGUAAAGCUCUAUCAGCAGGGAAGAAAAUGACGGUACCUGACUAAGAAGCCCCGGCUAAAUACGUGCCAGCAGCCGCGGUAAUACGUAUGGGGCAAGCGUUAUCUGGAUUUACUGGGUGUAAAGGGAGCGUAGACGGCAGUGCAAGUCUGAAGUGAAAGGCAAGGGCUCAACCUUUGGACUGCUUUGGAAACUGUGCUGCUAGAGUGUCGGAGAG
rnacentral:rRNA from 1 species